AUUGAACGCUGGCGGCAGGCCUAACACAUGCACGUCGAACGAGUGGCGGACGUGUGAGUAAUGUCUGGGACACUGCCUGAUGGCGGGGGAUAACUACUGGAAACGGUAGCUAAUACCGCAUACCAUCAGAUGUGCCCAGAUGGGAUUAGCUAGUUGGUGGGGUAACGGCUCACCAAGGCGACGAUCCCUAGCUGGUCUGAGAGGAUGACCAGCCACACUGGAACGGAGACACGGUCCAGACUCCUACUGGAGGCAGCAGAGGGGAAUAUUGAACAAUGGGCGCAAGCCUGAAGCAGCCAUGCGGCGUGUAUGAAGAAGGCCUUGGGGUUGUAAAGUACGUUCAGCGGGGAGGCGUUACCCGCAGAAGAAGCACCGGUGAACUCCGUGACAGCAGCCGCGGUAAUAC
rnacentral:rRNA from 1 species